AUGCAGCCGAGCGGUAGAGAUCUUUCGGGAUCUUGAGAGCGGCGUACGGGUGCGGAACACGUGUGCAACCUGCCUUUAUCUGGGGGAUAGCCUUUCGAAAGGAAGAUUAAUACCCCAUAAUAUACUGAAUGGCAUCAUUCUGUAUUGAAAACUCCGGUGGAUAGAGAUGGGCACGCGCAAGAUUAGAUAGUUGGUGAGGUAACGGCUCACCAAGUCUACGAUCUUUAGGGGGCCUGAGAGGGUGAUCCCCCACACUGGUACUGAGACACGGACCAGACUCCUACGGGAGGCAGCAGUGAGGAAUAUUGGACAAUGGGUGAGAGCCUGAUCCAGCCAUCCCGCGUGAAGGACGACGGCCCUAUGGGUUGUAAACUUCUUUUGUAUAGGGAUAAACCUACCCUCGUGAGGGUAGCUGAAGGUACUAUACGAAUAAGCACCGGCUAACUCCGUGCCAGCAGCCGCGGUAAUACGGAGGGUGCAAGCGUUAUCCGGAUUUAUUGGGUUUAAAGGGUCCGUAGGCGGAUCUGUAAGUCAGUGGUGAAAUCUCACAGCUUAACUGUGAAACUGCCAUUGAUACUGCAGGUCUUGAGUGUUGUUGAAGUAGCUGGAAUAAGUAGUGUAGCGGUGAAAUGCGUAGAA
rnacentral:rRNA from 1 species